rnacentral:lncRNA from 1 species
AAGUAAAAUUGGGUGGAUAAGCACAGCCUUAGAAGAGACACCUAUGCGUAUUGAUCUUGAAAUCCUAGCACCGAAUGAAAAAAAAACUUGAGAAAUAAUACAAUUCUUUUGACACAAAGUUAAAAUGCAAGUCAGCAAAACCACCUUUUUUUUUUUUCUUUCCAAGGACAGGUAACAACAUAAGAUCAACAGAAUGGAAUGACUAAUUCUAGGGGCAGGUGAAGUGAGUGGAAUAUACAGAUAAAAGGGAAAGACGCAAGGGACCGUGGAGAGAUGAAAGAAAAAUGAUAACAGGAAUAUAAUUCCUGGGAUUCCUUUAAAUGGAGACAAAAGCAUCCAUUUAGAGUCAAAAGACUGAAAAUGCAAGCCUGGGGAGAAAGAACGUGCUAGAACGAAGAGUUCUAGAUUCAGGUUUGGGCCAACAAAGAAGGGCUGUCCCACUGACCUGAGUGAACCGGAUGGCUGGGUCGAUCGCCUGGGUCCGCCAGCCUUUGGAAACCCAGGGCCAUCAAGCACAGAGCUCGUGAGAAUCCUGGAGAAGAAAGGGUCCAGUCUAGCCGGCUUCACUGUGUCACGGACUCCCCGCCCAGCCCCAGUCUAUUAUCCCAUCCUGGGGUAAAGAGCAUUUUUUUUUUUUUGGAGGUUUUGUCAGGGUCUGGAUGCAAUCAAUUUUAAACAAAAUUUUUCCUGCUGAGCAAACAUCUGUACUCUGGGUCUUGCUUCCUUUACACUGUCUUCUUAGCUUUCAAAUAUUUGCCGUCUAAAAAAUAAAAAACUUGAGGGGCGCCUGGGUGGCUCAGUCGGUUGAGCAUCCAACUUCAGCUCAGGUCAUGAUCUCACGGUUUGUGGGUUCGGUUCCGCAUCCGGCUUUGUGCUGACAGCUUGCACAGAGCCUGGAGCCUGCUUCGGAACCUCCUUCUCUCUCUGCCCCUACCCUGUUGGUGCCCUGUCUCUCUCUGUCUCUCAAUAAUAAAUAAAUGUAAAAAAAUAAAAAUAAAAUAAAUAAAAAAC